rnacentral:rRNA from 1 species
UACGUAGGGUGCAAGCGUUAAUCGGAAUUACUGGGCGUAAAGCGUGCGCAGGCGGUUUUGUAAGUCUGUCGUGAAAGCCCCGGGCUCAACCUGGGAAUUGCGAUGGAGACUGCAAGGCUUGAAUCUGGCAGAGGGGGGUAGAAUUCCACGUGUAGCAGUGAAAUGCGUAGAGAUGUGGAGGAACACCGAUGGCGAAGGCAGCCCCCCUGGGUCAAGAUUGACGCUCAUGCACGAAAGCGUGGGGAGCAAACAGGG